rnacentral:lncRNA from 1 species
GGAUUUCUACCCAGCUGGUUACAAUCGAUUCGAAUCGCCGUCUCUCCCGAAUAGUGAAAAAGUUGAGGAGCUUCCAACAUCGUAGUAUUCUGAUGAAAGAUGAUGGUUCUGUGGAUUAUUUUUAUAAGCUGGAUAUGGUUAUUAUUGUAAUGCUCCAAACUUAGUCUUAAAUAGCUUCACUAAACUUGAUGCUAAAAUAUUGAAUAAAAUAUUGAAAGUAAGGACUCAGGAUAGUUAUGCUCUUU